GGUGGAGCAUGUGGUUUAAUUCGAUGCAACGCGAAGAACCUUACCUGGUCUUGACAUCCACAGAACUUUCCAGAGAUGGAUUGGUGCCUUCGGGAACUGUGAGACAGGUGCUGCAUGGCUGUCGUCAGCUCGUGUUGUGAAAUGUUGGGUUAAGUCCCGCAACGAGCGCAACCCUUAUCCUUUGUUGCCAGCGGUCCGGCCGGGAACUCAAAGGAGACUGCCAGUGAUAAACUGGAGGAAGGUGGGGAUGACGUCAAGUCAUCAUGGCCCUUACGACCAGGGCUACACACGUGCUACAAUGGCGCAUACAAAGAGAAGCGACCUCGCGAGAGCAAGCGGACCUCAUAAAGUGCGUCGUAGUCCGGAUUGGAGUCUGCAACUCGACUCCAUGAAGUCGGAAUCGCUAGUAAUCGUGGAUCAGAAUGCCACGGUGAAUACGUUCCCGGGCCUUGUACACACCGCCCGUCACACCAUGGGAGUGGGUUGCAAAAGAAGUAGGUAGCUUAACCUUCGGGAGGGCGCUUACCACUUUGUGAUUCAUGACUGGGGUGAAGUCGUAACAAGGUAACCGUAGGGGAACCUGCGGUUGGAUCACCUCCUU
rnacentral:rRNA from 1 species